CUGUCUGUGAUUGUGUUUUUAAGAUGAGCUUUGCAAGUGUGAUUGAUUAGUUUCUUUAGUGGAAUUGUUAACGAUCUAAUUUCACAUUAGAUUUUCUAUUGAUCCACUAAUGAAGCACAGGAAGUGUUUUGACAGCACAUGCCUCUGCCAACUCUUAAGUAACUAUUUUAACUACAGGAGAAAUCUGAGGGAGAAGAAAAAUAUAGGAAUCUCCACCUGCUGCUGAACCUGGUUUC